CCAGCUUCUAAAGAUGCAGAAUGAAUAUUUGCAGACAUGACACCUAGCCUGAUGAAAAGCAGCUCCAGCCGCCAUGGUUUCAAUUUUGCCACGAUUGGCUGCUGGCACGGUGUCCUGCCGCCUCUCCUCCGACUCAGGACAUUUUCGGCAUUUAUGAUCCCAAAGGAAUUGUACUCUUGGUUAUGUAGACACCUACUCAUGGGACAGCUAUUUACAGUUCGAGUCAUACAGACGGAGCAUAUGACCAUAGUACAUAUACACAUGCCCCUUACAGGCAUGCAGUGACUUUUGACACCUGAAAAUUGAAUCUGUUAAAGCCCAUGACUACCAGAUUUAGCCUAAGAAACAGAAAUGGUAGUGUAUGUUCCUCUUUGACUCUCAUAACUCAGGAAUUAAGACACCUAGGAAGCCAGAGGUGCUAGAUUCUAACCCCAUGUCUCCUUCAGUGUGUUUCAUGAUUUAGAUGCCUCCAAAGUGAUCAGACUUCUUUGCAGCUAAUUAGAAUUCUUCCCUUACAUUCCUAAAAGCCAUUUAAGCAACACUUAGACAUCUUGACUAUACCCCACCCACCAGCUCCUACUCUGUAUGUGCCAAACCCUGAAAUGAAAUGGUGAAACCAUAGCAUUUCCCCAUCACCGCUCUUGUGAUCUUAGCCUUCAACAUGGUCGAUAGAACUGUUGGGGCCAUCCUCAGCAUGGCUUUACUAUCACAUUUCUACAUCUGGAAUGUGCAAAGCUGGUUCUGGAAUGGAUUGUGAUUUUGAAACUCGCACCCCUUAGAGCAUUUAGGAAGUGGUGUAAACAUUGGAUCUGGGCAUUAGUGUGCACAAGUCCUAUGAAGAAUCUACAUUCUAGAUUCCAGGAAGUCUUUUCUCCAAUUUUUAUUAACAGUCUUUGAAUUGAAAUGGAUUUGUAUUUCAGAUGUUAACUCCUAAUGUGAUGUUGUAGUCCUCUAUGCAUUAUUUCACAAUAUUUUUUCUACAUUAUUAUGGUAUCAUAAGAAAAAAAAACAAUGAUUUCAAUUCAAGGGAAAAAAACCCAAAAGCUGCAUUUGUUCUUGCAAAAUUUAAAAAGCAAGAUUUUCUUGCCACAUGUAUACUUAUACCGAUAAAGCAGAAUAUACCAUAUCUUCAGGUGAUAUAAAUAUCCCAGAUUUAAUGGAGCUACACUGCUAUAUAGCAGCUGGAGAUUCUGUAUAAAUAGAAUGUGUGUUGCAGUUUAUCAUGACUUAUUGGUAGUAAUUUAAGUUUUCAAUAAUUACAGGGGAAAUAUAUAGUACAAAAAAUGCUGACAUACUCAUCAUAAAGCUUUGAUAUAUCAUCUCAUCACCCAAGGCCAAAGUGAUGUCACUGUGGUUACAACCCUUCAAAGUUGGCCAGUCAACAAUGCUAUGCUAAAUAUCAUGAGGAAAAAAGUAUGUGUAAGCCUCCUCAACAGAAAUGUUGAUUCUACUGAAGUGGGCUGAAUACUCAAAGGAGAAUGAGAAUUCAGAAAGCUCUGUCAUGCAUAAAUAUUACUCAUUUUUAUCCUUCAAAUAAUACAGCCAACAAGAAAAGAAAAUGAAACAACAAACCCAAACCUUCACAAUGACAAGGAAUGAAAAAUAAGAUCAAUGGGAGGGAGAUGCAUGUGACAUGAACAAGACUAAUAAUAAAGAAAUAUUUAAGAAACAACAUGUCUACAGAAAACUCAGCCUGAAUCAGAAAUCACACUGCUUUGUGACUCCAUAUAAGUUUGCUUGUUCUGUCAGCAAUGUAAUUGUCAGCCUCUUCAGAGUAAAUAGAUAAUAGAAAAUAGAUAUGCUUGCCUGAAGUUCACUUAAAGCCUAAACAUAUGCAACAUUAAAACAACCUCUCUUUCAUCCCUUUCAGCUUUCACUUCAGUUCCACAAAAGGUUUUUGCUCACUCAUGAGUGCAAAAUAGAAUUUGAAAAGAUCCCCACCUUUGCCCUAUAGGGCUGGAGCCAGAAGUGCGGGCAUGUGUGGCUUGUGACACUACAAGCAUCUUUGCAGUGCCACAAACCUCAUGAGCUGCACAUUAAUCAGUGCUGGCACCGG